GUGCCGGUGAACAUGCGUGCUUUGUCGAAGAUUUGAUCACGCUUGUCUACAUAGUUCCGGAUAUUCUUGGACCAUCGUUCACAAGUUUUUCUGUUUACGCUCCUGGCGUUUCAUUCAGCGGUCACUUCAGGUAGAACAAUUUGAUUGAAAGCUCUAACCCUGCUGCCAGAAGGUGGAACUACUGUACCUUUGCAGAAACUCUACAUGAAGUUUAUCCACGAAUGGUAUGGAAAGAAAAGGAACUUCAGCAGCUUGGAUGGAUUGGGUUCAUGCGUUCAGUCAGCAGCUCAAGAAAAACCCGGAAAUUCCGAAUUAAACCACGUUUUGCACUGACCUCUAACACUUCUGAACUAACAACUGAUAUCUCGUGCGCUGAAGCACAGCGUGAGCUAAGGGCAAUUUCAGAAACUGUCACAGACCCAGAUUGAAUUGAUCUUUCAAGAAUGAACAUGUUGCUGCGUGCAACCAUUCAAAUACGGCAGCAAAAUCCUGUUGAGGAGCUCCCUGUAUACCUUCUGAAUGCAGCUGUGGACCAGCAUGACACCAGCAAGCUUCUUCUAGG